rnacentral:rRNA from 1 species
CCUACGGGAGGCAGCAGUGGGGGAUAUUGCUCAAUGGGGGGAACCCUGAUGCAGCGACGCCGCGUGGGUGAAGGAGUGCUUCGGCAUGUAAAGCCCCAUCUGCAGGGAAGAAGCAAGACGGUACCUGACUAAGAAGCCCCGGCUAACUACGUGCCAGCAGCCGCGGUAAUACGUAGGGGGCGAGCGUUAUCCGGAUUCACUGGGUGUAAAGGGAGCGUAGACGGUCAUGCAAGCCAGGGGUGAAAGCCCGGGGCCCAACCCCGGGACUGCCGUUGAAACUGUGCGGCUAGAGUGCGGGAGGGGCAGGCGGAAUGCGUGGUGUAGCGGUGAAAUGCGUAGAUAUCAGGAGGAACACCGACGGCGAAGGCGGCCUGCUGGACUGCGACUGACGUUGAGGCUCGAAAGCGUGGGGAGCGAACAGGAUUAGAUACCCCUGUAGUC